AAGACUGGGAUAACUCCGGGAAACCGGAGCUAAUACCGGAUAGUUCCUUGAACCGCAUGGUUCAAGGAUGAAAGACGGUUUCGGCUGUCACUUACAGAUGGACCCGCGGCGCAUUAGCUAGUUGGUGGGGUAAUGGCUCACCAAGGCGACGAUGCGUAGCCGACCUGAGAGGGUGAUCGGCCACACUGGGACUGAGACACGGCCCAGACUCCUACGGGAGGCAGCAGUAGGGAAUCUUCCGCAAUGGACGAAAGUCUGACGGAGCAACGCCGCGUGAGUGAUGAAGGUUUUCGGAUCGUAAAGCUCUGUUGUUAGGGAAGAACAAGUGCGAGAGUAACUGCUCGCACCUUGACGGUACCUAACCAGAAAGCCACGGCUAACUACGUGCCAGCAGCCGCGGUAAUACGUAGGUGGCAAGCGUUGUCCGGAAUUAUUGGGCGUAAAGGGCUCGCAGGCGGUUUCUUAAGUCUGAUGUGAAAGCCCCCGGCUCAACCGGGGAGGGUCAUUGGAAACUGGGAAACUUGAGUGCAGAAGAGGAGAGUGGAAUUCCACGUGUAGCGGUGAAAUGCGUAGAGAUGUGGAGGAACACCAGUGGCGAAGGCGACUCUCUGGUCUGUAACUGACGCUAAGGAGCGAAAGCGUGGGGAGCGAACAGGAUUAGAUACCCUGGUAGUCCACGCCGUAAACGAUGAGUGCUAAGUGUUAGGGGGUUUCCGCCCCUUAGUGCUGCAGCUAACGCAUUAAGCACUCCGCCUGGGGAGUACGGUCGCAAGACUGAAACUCAAAGGAAUUGACGGGGGCCCGCACAAGCGGUGGAGCAUGUGGUUUAAUUCGAAGCAACGCGAAGAACCUUACCAGGUCUUGACAUCCUCUGACAACCCUAGAGAUAGGGCUUUCCCUUCGGGGACAGAGUGACAGGUGGUGCAUGGUUGUCGUCAGCUCGUGUCGUGAGAUGUUGGGUUAAGUCCCGCAACGAGCGCAACCCUUGAUCUUAGUUGCCAGCAUUUAGUUGGGCACUCUAAGGUGACUGCCGGUGACAAACCGGAGGAAGGUGGGGAUGACGUCAAAUCAUCAUGCCCCUUAUGACCUGGGCUACACACGUGCUACAAUGGACAGAACAAAGGGCUGCGAGACCGCAAGGUUUAGCCAAUCCCAUAAAUCUGUUCUCAGUUCGGAUCGCAGUCUGCAACUCGACUGCGUGAAGCUGGAAUCGCUAGUAAUCGCGGAUCAGCAUGCCGCGGUGAAUACGUUCCC
rnacentral:rRNA from 1 species